UACGUAGGGUGCAAGCGUUGUCCGGAAUUAUUGGGCGUAAAGAGCUCGUAGGCGGUUCGUCGCGUCGGCUGUGAAAUCCCGAGGCUCAACCUCGGGUCUGCAGUCGAUACGGGCGGACUGGAGUACUGCAGGGGAGACUGGAAUUCCUGGUGUAGCGGUGAAAUGCGCAGAUAUCAGGAGGAACACCGGUGGCGAAGGCGGGUCUCUGGGCAGUUACUGACGCUGAGGAGCGAAAGCGUGGGGAGCGAAUGGG
rnacentral:rRNA from 1 species